UACGGAGGGGGCUAGCGUUGUUCGGAAUUACUGGGCGUAAAGCGCGUGUAGGCGGCUGUGCAAGUCGGAUGUGAAAUCCCGUGGCUCAACCACGGAAGUGCACCCGAAACUGCGCAGCUGGAGUCUCGGAGAGGAAGGUGGAAUGCUUGGUGUAGAGGUGAAAUUCGUAGAUAUCAAGCGGAACACCGGUGGCGAAGGCGGCCUUCUGGACGAUGACUGACGCUGAGACGCGAAAGCGUGGGGAGCAAACAGG
rnacentral:rRNA from 1 species